rnacentral:rRNA from 1 species
UACGGAGGGUGCAAGCGUUGUUCGGAAUCACUGGGCGUAAAGCGCGUGUAGGCGGUCUCCUAAGUCUGGUGUGAAAGCCCGGGGCUUACCCCCGGAAGUGCACUGGAUACUGGGAGACUGGAGUACCGGAGAGGAGGGUGGAAUUCCUGGUGUAGCGGUGAAAUGCGUAGAUAUCAGGAAGAACACCGGUGGCGAAGGCGGCCCUCUGGACGGAUACUGACGCUGAGGCGCGAAAGCUAGGGGAGCAAACGGG